ACUGAGUAAGCCAUUGUUUAAUAAUAAUUUUUCUUCUUUAGAGGCCAGAGGGUAUGGCAAACAAUAAUAACGGUAACUACAUUUCAGCUAUUGACAGAAAUUCUGAACCAAGAGACUCAGAUAUUUACUUAGCGCACAAAGGUUUCUGUCUUUAAAGUGUAAGCAUGACAUGAUUAUUGGCAAACAAUAAUAACGGUAACUACAUUUCAGCUAUUGACAGAAAUUCUGAACCAAGAGA
rnacentral:lncRNA from 1 species